rnacentral:rRNA from 1 species
AUUGAACGCUGGCGGCAUGCUUUACACAUGCAAGUCGAACGGUAACAGGGUGCUUGCACCGCUGACGAGUGGCGAACGGGUGAGUAAUGCGUCGGAACGUGCCGAGUAGUGGGGGAUAACGCAGCGAAAGUUGUGCUAAGGCCGGAUACGUAAUGCGGUAGAAAGUGGGGGACCUUCGGGCAUCACGCUAUUCGAGCGGCCGACGGCGGAUUAGCUAGUAGGUGAGGUAAAGGCUCACCUAGGCUACGAUCAGUAGCGGGUCUGAGAGGAUGAUCCGCCACACUGGGACUGAGACACGGCCCAGACUCCUACGGGAGGCAGCAGUGGGGAAUUUUGGACAAUGGGCGAAAGCCUGAUCCAGCCAUGCCGCGUGUCUGAAGAAGGCCUUCGGGUUGUAAAGGACUUUUGUCAGGGAGGAAAUCCCUAGUGCUAAUAACACUGGGGGAUGACAGUACCUGAAGAAUAAGCACCGGCUAACUACGUGCCAGCCGCCGCCGUAA